rnacentral:rRNA from 1 species
CAGCCGCCGCGGUAAAACGAAGGGGGCUAGCGUUACUCGGAAUUACUGGGCGUAAAGGGCGCGUAGGCGGCACGAUUAGUCAGGCGUGAAAUUCCUGGGCUCAACCUGGGGACUGCGCUUGAUACGGUCGAGCUAGAGGAUGGAAGAGGGUUGUGGAAUUCCCAGUGUAGAGGUGAAAUUCGUAGAUAUUGGGAAGAACACCGGUGGCGAAGGCGGCAACCUGGUCCAUUACUGACGCUGAGGCGCGACAGCGUGGGGAGCAAACAGGAUUAGAUACCCGCGUAGUCCCUGUCUCUUAUAA